rnacentral:misc_RNA from 1 species
UCCGGGUUGGACCCGGCGGUCCCGCCAGACAUGGUAACUGGCAGCGAGGGUUGCGCUCGUUGCGGGACUUAACCCAACACCUCACGGCACGAGCUGACGGCAGCCAUGCAGCAUCUGUGCACGCUCCCUUGCGGGUCCCUCGCCUUUCGGCUCGGUACCACACGCAUGUCAAGCCUAGGUAAGGUUCUGCGCGUUGCAUCGAAUUAAACCACAUCAUCCACCGCUUGUGCGGGCCCCCGUCAAUUCCUUUGAGUUUCAACCUUGCGAUCGUACUCCCCAGGUGGUAUGCUUAAUAGGUUCCCUACGGCACUGAAGCAUUGCUGCCCCAACACCAAGCAUACAUCGUUUAUGGUGUGGACUAC